UACGGGGGGAGCAAGCGUUGUUCGGAUUUACUGGGCGUAAAGGGCGCGUAGGCGGCCAGCGCAAGUCAGUUGCGAAAUCUCCGGGCUUAACUCGGAACGGUCAACUGAUACUGCGCGGCUAGAGUGCAGAAGGGGCAACUGGAAUUCUCGGUGUAGCGGUGAAAUGCGUAGAUAUCGAGAGGAACACCUGCGGCGAAGGCGGGUUGCUGGGCUGACACUGACGCUGAUGCGCGAAAGCCAGGGGAGCGAACGGG
rnacentral:rRNA from 1 species